UGGACUUCCUAAUUCUAAUACUAAAGGAUUGCUUUAGUAUAUUUUCCUCCACUGCCUAGCAAAAUGCACGGCCAAACUCUCUACCUAUAAAUGUUCCUUAUUUCUUUGGAGAGAGGAAAGACAAAAAAAGGUACUCUUUAAUUUCUACAAAGAGUGUGAUGAAUUGAGAGCUUAUAUCUUCAAAUCUCCAGCAACGUAGCAAAUCAAAAGUUCCUUCAUAGUGAAUUAAGGUGACGGGAAGUUUUAUGAAGGCGACUUAAGUGCGAUUCCUCAUCUACGACCAUCUACGAGCUCGUAUGAGCAAUUAAGGUUCAGGUAUACCGAGUGGCAGGAGUGCAUCCUAGAUGGUACAGAUGUUCAACAAAAUGGUGUCAGCUUCACUUCUUCCUGGAGUUGAGUCAAGUCUUGUAUUUGUAUGUAUAGUGAUUAUGGGUAGGUUAGGGCCCUGUCCCGACUAUGUUAUGUCAGUCAGAUAUUCGUAGAGUCUUCAUAGACGUUUGUGGUCAGGUACAGUCAUGUACAGGUUUGACUUUUAGUUAUACAGACAAAGCAUCGAUCAUGUUUACAGA